AUUGAACGCUGGCGGCAGGCUUAACACAUGCAAGUCGAACGGUAAAAGGCCGCUUGGUGCUGGCUUGAGCGGCGGACGGGUGAGUAACACCUAGGAAUCCCCCUGGUUGGGGGGGAAAAACUCGGGAGACGGGCGCUAAUACCGCACAAGCUCUGAGGGAGAAAGUGGGGGAGCUUCGCACCUCACGCUUUCAGAUGAGCCUAGGUCGGAUUAGAUAGUUGGUGGGGUAAAGGCCCACCAAGGCGACGAUCCGUAACUGGUCUGAGAGGACGAUCCGCCACACUGGAACUGAGACACGGCCCAGACUCCUACGGGAGGCAGCAGUGGGGAAUUUUGGACAAUGGGCGAAAGCCUGAUCCAGCCAUGCCGCGUGUAUGAAGAAGGUCUUCGGGUUGUAAACUGCUUUUGGAUGGGACGAAGGGCAGCUGGUUAAUACCUGGCUCUAAUGACGGUACCGUAAGAAUAAGCACCGGCUAACUACGUG
rnacentral:rRNA from 1 species